AGAGUUUGAUCAUGGCUCAGGAUGAACGCUAGCGGGAGGCCUAACACAUGCAAGCCGAGCGGUAUUGUUUCGUUCGGAAAUGAGAGAGCGGCGUACGGGUGCGGAACACGUGUGCAACCUACCUUUAUCUGGAGGAUAGCCUUUCGAAAGGAAGAUUAAUACUCCAUAAUAUAUUGAUUGGCAUCAAUUGAUAUUGAAAGCUCCGGCGGAUAAAGAUGGGCACGCGCAAGAUUAGCUAGUUGGUGAGGUAACGGCUCACCAAGGCGAUGAUCUUUAGGGGCCUGAGAGGGUGAUCCCCCACACUGGUACUGAGACACGGACCAGACUCCUACGGGAGGCAGCAGUGAGGAAUAUUGGUCAAUGGGUGCAAGCCUGAACCGGCCAUCCCGCGUGAAGGACGACUGCCCUAUGGGUUGUAAACUUCUUUUGUAUAGGGAUAAACCUACUCUCGUGAGAGUAGCUGAAGGUACUAUACGAAUAAGCACCGGCUAACUCCGUG
rnacentral:rRNA from 1 species